UUCUAAGGAUAUAACAGCCCAUAAAGAACUACUGUCAACAUUCCAAUCCAUAGUUGAAUCUUAUGGGAUAAUGUUAUCAGAAAAGAAGAGCUCAUUAGCCCAGACUGAGAUCGACUUUCUUGGAAUGCACUUCAAAGAAUAAAAUAUCAAACAGGUCCACACAUAGCGGAGGAAUUAUUGAAAUUCUCUGACAAAUACUUAACGAUAAAGCAACUACAACAAUUUUUGGGAAUUGUCAAUUAUAUCAGAAAAUUUAUUCCUCGUGUCGCUACACAUGUCAGCCACCUUUCCAAGAUGCUAAAAAAGACCACACCGCCUUGGGGUCCGAACCAGACCAGUGCAGUUAAAACUCUAAAAGAAGUGGCUCUAACUCCGCCACCUCUCAAGAUUCCCAGUUCGGGGCACCACAUUAUCCAGACAGAUGCUAGUGACACUCACUGGGGCGUUAUCCUGAUUGAAGACAUACAAGAAGAAAAGCACAUCUGUGGCCACGCAAGAGGUGAGUUCCCAUAUGCUCAAAAACAUUACCAUUAUGUUUACAAGGAGAUCUUAGCCGUAAAAAAAAGGGAUCAAACGGUUUGAAUUUCACCUCAUCGAACAUCACUUUACUGUUCUUAUGGACGGCUCAUCUUUUCCGAGAAUUUUGGACUUUAAGAAUAAAACUCUUCCUAAAUCACAGCUGUUAAGGCUUAAAGAUUGAUUCGCAAAAUAUAAAUUCACAGCCCAACACAUCAAAGGGAAACACAAUCUAAUUCCACAUCUGUUAUCCAAAACCAAAGAUCUUCAUCUUGUGAACUCUUCACUCCACCUUCCCCUUAAUACUAAUGG
rnacentral:misc_RNA from 1 species